UGUGAUGCCUUGAUGUUCUGGGCGACGCGCGUACUGAUGUAUUCACGAGUAUAUAGCUUGGCGACAGGCCGGGAAUCUUUGAAUUUAUCGUGAUGGGGAUAGUCAUUGCAUUGUUGGUCUUAACGAGGAUUCUAGUAAGCGCGAGUCAUCAGUCGCGUUGAUAGUCCUGCCUUUGUACACGCCGUCGUCUACGAUUGAAUGGUCGGUGAGUGUUAGGAUGUGGCGAGUGGGCGGUUCGUGCCGCGACGUCGCGAGAUUCCAUGACUUAUCAUUUAGAGGAAGGAGAGUGUAACAGGUUUCGUAGGUGAACUGCGGAGGUCAUUGUCGACCUGACGCAGAGACCGUGACAGUUAACAUUGGCCUUGCGGGACGAGCAUUUGUUUCGGCCUUGUGAGUCUUGUCGAGUGCGUUCAUGCGUGGACAUACUUUGGUUUUGUCAUGGAUGUAUGUUGACAAAUACAACCCGGCGAGAUGUGCAAGGAAACCAAAUUAAGAACGUGCUGUUGCGCCCGUUCGCGGUGUGCGCAUGUUCGUGGUUCUUUGUAACUUAAACGACUUCGGCACGGAUAUCUCGGCUACGCAUCGAUGAGACGUAGCAAAUGCGAUAUUGGUGUGAAUUGCAGAUCCGUGAACAUCGAGUUUUUGACGCAGUUGCGCCGAGCAUUCGGUUGAGGGCAGUUGCUGGGCGUCAGAUACGUCGCCCACAGGAUCCCUAUAGGGUGUUUGUGUUGGGGCGGAGAUUGGUCUCCGUGCCAUGGCGUGGUUGGCCUAAUAGGAGUUCUCGCGAGGGACGCGGUAGUGGUGGUUGAUAGACAGUGUCUGUGUGUGCGUUUACUUUCUUGGAGUAGUGCUCUUAAGUACCUGAUGUGUUGUUUAUGACGAUGCUUCGAUCGCGACCCAGGUCAGGCGGGAUACCGUGGUUUAGAUAUCAUAGCGGAGGAAAGAAUUACUAGGAUUCCUUAGUAACGGCGAGCGAACGGGAAGCCAGCUUGAAAUCGGGCGGCUUCGUCGUCGAUUGUAGUUGGGAGCGUCCUCAGCGGCGGACGGGCCAGUCCUGGAGGGGGCGCGGGAGGGUGAGGCCCGUCGUGCCGGACCUGUCGCACCGAGGCGCUGUUGCGAGUCGGGUUGUUUGGGAUGCAGCCCAAUAGGGCGGUAAUUCGUCCAGGCUAAUAUGGGUGAGACGAUAGCAACAGUACGCGAGGGAAGAUGAAAGGACUUUGAAGAGAGUCAAGAGUGCUUGAAUUGUCGGGAGGGAGCGAAUGGGGGCGGCGAUGGUCCGGUCGGAUGUGGACGGUGUAGUCGGUCGCCGAUCGGUCGGGACGUGGACCGGUGCGGAUUGGUACGGCGGCCAAGCCAGGCUGUUGAUAUGCUGUGGAGAUGCGUUGUGCGAUGUGGUUGGCAGCGCGCGCGUCACGGCGUGCUUCGGACUGCGUGUCUGGCACGGCUGCGGGACCAUUCGGCCGUCUUGAAACGGACAAGGAGUCUGAAUGUGUGCGAGUCAAGGGUGAGUAACCGCAAGGCGAGGAAGUGAUUGGCGGGAUCCCUGUGGGGUGCACGCGACGACCUUGAUUUCUGAGAGGGUUCGGUGUGAGAUGCUGUCGGGACCGAAGAUGGUGAACUAUGCUGAGCGGGGCGAGCAGAGGAACUUGGUGGAGGCCGCAGCGAUAUGAGUGCAAUCGUUCGUUGACUUGGGUAUAGGGGCGAAGAUAAUCGACGUUAGUAGCUGGUUCCUCCGAGUUUCCUCAGGAUAGUGGAGCCGGGUGCGAGUUCUAUCGGGUAAGCGAAUGAUUAGAGGAUCGGGGGCGCACGCCUCGACUAUUCUCAACUUUAAUAGGUAGGACGGCGCGGUGCUUUGUUGAGCGCGCACGGAUCGAGGCUCAGUGGGCAUUUUUGGUAGCGAACUGGCGAUGCGGGAUGAACGGAAGCGGGUUACGGUGCCAAUGCGCGCUACUAGAACCAAAGGGUGUUGGUCGAUUAAGACAGCGGCGGUGGUCAUGGAAGUCGAAAUCGCUAAGGAGUGUGUAAACUCACUGCCGAUCACUAGCCCGAAAUGGAUGGCGCUUAGCGCGCGACUCACCGGCGUCGAGGCAAGUGCAGGCCCGAUGAGUGGAGGGGCGGCGGUCGUGCAAACUUGGGCGUGAGCCGGGCGGAGCGGGUCGGUGCGGAUCUUGGUGGUAGUAGCAAUAUUCAAUGGAACUUUGAGGCGAAGAGGGGAAGGUUCCAUGUGAACGGCACUUGCACAUGGGUUAGUCGAUCCUAAGGAGGGGAAGCGUCAGAUAGCGUGUUUCACGCGAGCUUCGAAAGGGAAUCGG
rnacentral:lncRNA from 1 species